GACGAACGCUGGCGGCGUGCUUAACACAUGCAAGUCGAACGGAAAGGCCCUGCUUUUGUGGGGUGCUCGAGUGGCGAACGGGUGAGUAACACGUGAGUAACCUGCCCUUGACUUUGGGAUAACUUCAGGAAACUGGGGCUAAUACCCGAUAGGAUCUCCUGCUGCAUGGUGUGGGUUGGAAAGUUUCGGCGGUUGGGGAUGGACUCGCGGCUUAUCAGCUUGUUGGUGUGGUAGUGGCUUACCAAGGCUUUGACGGGUAGCCGGCCUGAGAGGGUGAACGGGCACAUUGGGACUGAGAUACGGACCAGACUCCUACGGGAGGCAGCAGUGGGGAAUAUUGCACAAUGGGCGGAAGCCUGAUGCAGCAACGCCGCGUGCGGGAUGACGGCCUUCGGGUUGUAAACCGCUUUCGCAUGUGACGAAGCGUGAGUGACGGUAAUGGGUAAAGAAGCACCGGCUAACUACGUG
rnacentral:rRNA from 1 species